rnacentral:rRNA from 1 species
GUGGGGAAUAUUGCGCAAUGGGGGAAACCCUGAUCUAGCCAUGCCGCGUGAGCGAUGAAGGCCUUAGGGUUGUAAAGCUCUUUCAGCUGGGAAGAUAAUGACGGUACCAGCAGAAGAAGCCCCGGCUAACUCCGUGCCAGCAGCCGCGGUAAUACGGAGGGGGCUAGCGUUGUUCGGAAUUACUGGGCGUAAAGCGCACGUAGGCGGACUGGAAAGUCAGGGGUGAAAUCCCGGGGCUCAACCCCGGAACUGCCUUUGAAACUCCCAGUCUUGAGUUCGAGAGAGGUGAGUGGAAUUCCGAGUGUAGAGGUGAAAUUCGUAGAUAUUCGGAGGAACACCAGUGGCGAAGGCGGCUCACUGGCUCGAUACUGACGCUGAGGUGCGAAAGCGUGGGGAGCAAACAGGAUUAGAAACCCGUGUAGUCC